UGCAAUUCUAACACCUGCUUCAUCACUAACCCACUGGAAACCGACUGGAAAUCUAUUCCUGGUUGCCAAUAUGCCGAUUUUGUUCCCAAGGUCUUUUUCUUCGAGUUUCUCCAGCGUGUAUCUAACCUUGCCUUGGUGAGACAAGAGACGAGCGGAGCAGUUGCUACAGGCCUGACGUGGCUGGCAACACUGCACACCCAUAGGGCAGGAAUACUAACUAAUUAUACCCAGCAAACCAGACUCACUGAUAUAGGCUAGCCUAUAGGCUCGGGUGAAAUGUGUAUUCUCGUUAAAUAGACUAGCCUAGGCCGAACAUGGACAUUGGUUAUAAUAUGAAACAACUAACUGUAGGCCAAUUUGAAAAAAAUAAUUAAAGGUAUGACUAUUAGGCUAAGUCUGGUUCAUCCCAGUUUAUGGGAUGAACCAUGGGAUGAAAUUCAAAGAAAUUUUCGUUUUGUAAGUUUAAUUAAUUAACGUUAGUUUGUGACAUGGUCAAAUAUCAGUUAAAACAGGAUAUCGAGAUGACGCCUGGACCUUUAUGUGUCGACCUACAAUAGAUUCAAUUCAGUGUCCAAAGUGCAUUGCUACAACACCGCUUGCACCUGAACACAGUGUUUUGCGUUUGUUGAUUAUUUUGUGUUGUUGUCAUAUUUAAUUACCUAGGCCUGCCGGUAUAAAUUGUAGAAAUGCGUUGGUUGCUCAUUGCGUCCCUUGCGCUCCUCUUCAGGGUGAGUGACCAUUUAUCUCCAAGGAGACAAAUUCAAGUUAACAACACGCAGUUGGCUCUAGUGCGUCCUCUACGCAAAAACAAUUGAAAAAGACAGGAGAGCAAGUUCUGCAACAAUCACCAGCAGUAGCCUAAUACAAAUGGAUGACAAUCUCUCAAGUUUGGAAACAGAGGUACCAUGUAAGAAACCGGAAGUAGUUCUCACUAUUUUACACAUUAAUUAUGUGACCGAAAUAGAAGCAAGUCCAGAAUAACUGGUUGGCGGAGCCGCAAGGUAAAGGUUAGCUAGCUAACGUUUUGAAAAAACACUUAGGCCUAACUAACUUGAACUUCCGUUGGCUGGAUCAAGUCUGGUUGAAAUUUCACUCUGUCUAACGUCGGGCAAUCUAGCUAGCCUUUGUAAACAUUCGAAUUUCACAAAACUAAAUGUUAACUAUGGUUUUCUCCCCCAGGUUUGCCACUGCUCUAAAAGUAUUACAGUCGCUAAAUCCGUUGAUAGUUUUCAGUGGUGACUGUCUGAGCCCUUCCUUGCUAAGCACAGUCACCAAGGGAAAGCAUAUGGUAGAUGUUCUAAAUAAAUUAGGAGUCCACUGUGCUGUGUAUGGUAAGUGCUUCUCUCCAACCAUGCAUUACUACUUAAUUGUACACAAAAAUAAUCCUGAGAGGAUCCCUUUCUCCAAAUUCAUUACACAGAGUGCUCUCUCUCUCUCACUCACUCACACAGAGAUCCUGCAAAACUAAUAAGGGCUCAAUUCAAUCCGGAUCGCGGUAGUUCAGUUUUACAGGGUGAUUGAAAUUUAAAGGCAAUGUUCCCCUUUUAGCGGAGACUGCAUUCACAGUAAAUUAUGCAUUGGUUGCCUCAAUUGGAAAUCACGUUUACAUUUCUAUUAUGGAAUCUGUAACACUUCAGCUUUACAGAUUGAAUAUAGCCCUUAAUGUUGUUUCAUUGUCUUCAUCUAAGGCAAUCAUGAAUUUGACUUCGGUCUGGACCUCUUGGAAGAACAUACUAAAAUGAUGUCCUUCCCAUGGUUCAUUAACAAUGUGUAUGACAGGUCAGUUUCACCGAGCAAUACUAGGCUAUAUAUACCAGUGGGUUAACACACUUGUGCGCACAAUACUUUGCAAGUGUCAAUAAAUCUUCAGUUGUACCUAAAGGGCUAUUUGUUGUUUUACAUCCAGUGUUUCAUUUUAAUGUAAACAAACAGCAAUUGUGCACUCAAAGGUUCACUAGUGAAACGUUGGUCCAUGGCGUGGUCAGCAGCAUCCUGGAGUAGAACGGCCUGUGAAGAUCGAUUUCAUGGGCCUGGUAGAGGAGGACUGGAUGGAUACCCUGGGCACUGUGGACAAGAACGACAUCAAGUAUAUAGACUUACGUGGAGACAGCAGAUCGGCUGUCUGCUGAGCUGAGGGACAAAGGGGCUGACCUGGGCAUCACACUCACACACAUGAGGUGGCGUAAUGGCAUCAGGCGAGCAUCCAAGUCUAAAGGUGUGGAUCUCAUCCUGGGAGGACAUGACCAUGAGUGCAGGGUACUGGAGGUCAAUGGGAUUGGGAUUGUGAAGAGUGGCUCAGAGUUCAGUUACAUUUCGAAGAGUGAUGUUGUGAAGGGCCAGGAUUGGACUUUCAAGUACAGCUGUGUAAAGAUAGCCACAAUGAAAGACCGUGAGGAAGAUGCAGGAAUCCGGCAGAGUGUGAAAGGAUACACUGAUAAUAUGCUGGUGAUUUUCUGUUGUUGCAGCUUAAUUUGCUUACAGUAGUGUGUGUCUGUGUUACUAGCCUGGCCAGAUGCCACUAAGCUGACGUUUUAUGAAUUGAUGUCACUGUCUCAGCACAUGCUUGGAGAGGUCCUGUGCCACAUAGAAAUGGCCUUGGAUGGACGCUAUGCCGCCGUGAGAUGAGCAGAGUGCUACCUGGGUAAUCUGGUCAUCUAUGCCAUGCUGGAGGCCACUCAUGCUGACGUGGCUUUUUUAAACUCAGAGCAGACUUGUUGAAUACAGAAAGAGUUUGGCACCCAGGGCUUGGAGAACGGAAUCCGCAACUACCUUGCUCUGGAUGGAAGAUUUCCCCAGGUUUCUGGGAUCCAUUUUGGCUUUGGUCUCAUUGGAAAACCUGGCAGUCAUCGCUGAGACUGUGAAGGUUCAAGGGCAACGAUGACUACACCAUGUUCAGUGGCGGACCUCAUAGGCACAUAAGGCACGUUUUAUGAAUAUAUGUCACUCUGUCUCAGCACAUGCUUGGAGAGGUCCUGUGCCACAUAGACGUGGCCUUGGAUGGACGCUACGCCGCAGUGAGACGAGCAGAGUGCAACCUGGGUAAUCUGGUCAUCUAGGCCAUGCUGGAGGCUACUCAUGCUGAGGUGGCUUUUUUAAACUCAGCAGGAAAUCAGAUCCUGUCAACCGUCCUUAUCAACCACUUUGAGUCUGGCCGGAUAGUCAGAUGCAUGAAGAGGUGCAAGUCUGGUCACAUGAUGGGCCUUAUCAAGGUGUCCAGAAGCCCCUCUGUGUCUGGUGAGCACAGCUGCUUCUGUCAUUCAUAACACUCAUUUCCAAGAGCUGACUAAUGUCCUACCUGUCCUGUUUUUCAUUACUGUGCUGAUCACAUCUCUGAUUGAGAGCUAACCUGGAGUGUGUACUGAUGGUGUUUCUGCGGCCAUUGAGAGAUCCAAGAAUGAGAGUCUGGAGGGAGAGGUGGGAGUGGCUCUGGUGCCCGUAGUGGAGGGCAGGAUAUUCCACGUCCAACCUGAGGGCCAUUCAGAAACAGAAAGCUAACAGUAGGCAGGGCUGUUCCUCGUCUGAGAAUUCCACAGAGCUACUAAGCCACGGCUCCAUAGUCACCGUGGGAACCAGGGGACAUUACAUCAAGUCUUUUGCAUCUCUCAUCUACUGCUUGUUUUUUUAUCAGCCUCAUAAACGAGGCAGAUUGUCAAUAAACACUUGGACAGAAACAUGAGAUUAAAGUCAUUCAUUGUAUUACUUCCAGGAACAUUGUGCAAUUCAUUGACAUUGCACCUGAAAUUACUCAAUUAAAUGUGAACAUCGAAAACUA